rnacentral:tRNA from 1 species
GAAAUAUAUUAUAAUUAAGCUGCUAACUUAAUUGUUAGUGGUUUAUCCCAUUAAUAUUUCU